CAACAGCCCAAAUUCCAUGCUCCAACACGGAAACAGUUUUAUGAGUUUUUACAAAAGAGACCAAGUUGUAAAUCAAGGCAAGUUUAAAGUACGUUGGUGGGUACAUCCGAGAAGCAGCUAUGGUAAGAGGGGGAGACUUCGUUUAGGCUUAAGGUGCCAUCUGAUGGCAUUCUUACCUUUUCUGUUGAUGGAACUUAGUGGGCCUGUGAGGUCAAUAGAUUCCAAGGAUCUUUAAUCUGUUAGUAACAGGAUGUUAGCUCGGAACACAAAGUAAGGAAUGGCUGCUCUGGGGUGCUAAAGCUAGCCCAAGAUAAGAACCAGAGGAAAAGCUGCCAUCCCAUGUCCUCUGCUACAGGAUUUUCUGUCGAGUGAAAGAUCCUGGAUACAUCCCAAGUCAGGAAGUCCAGCAAUUUCUCAUGAAGUUUGACGCGCUGUCUCUGCCUAGUGCGGAUGGGAGCAGUGACUGUGUGUCCCCCGCUGUCCUUCU
rnacentral:lncRNA from 1 species